UUGUGUUUUCAAUGGAGAAAUACAUCAUCUGUUUACAAAAUAGCUCUUGAAAAAUACAAGGAGUACAGAUACUAUAAAACAAAGCAAACUCCAGUCAUGAGACACUACGUACAUCAUGCGAAAGCAACAGUCUGAUCUCCAGGUUAUGAAAACUAGAAUUAAAAAGUCACUAUACAGAAAGGUUCCAAGUUUCCAGCUUGGCAAAACUUGGGUGCAGUUACAUGAAACGUUUAAUAAAAUGAAAAAGAUUUUCUGAUGUGUAAACAAAAUGACAAGACUAAAUUUGUGCCUGGCAAUUUCGAUCUAAACUCCAUAGCUACACAAAAUACACAGACACCUUGUACACUUCAACUGUUAAUAUAACCUUCUUUGGGGGGUGGACGACAGCAGGCUGCACAGGGCAAGGAAAAGAGAAAUAUUGUAUACUAGACAUCUUAGACAAAUGGCAAAAAAAACCCUUCAGUUACUGCACAGCCUAAGUAAAAGAUAAGCUACACUCUGACUUUGGAGAAUUAAUUUAGAAGGAUAAGGGGAAGAGUGUAAGUAAUUCAAUUUUAAUAUGAAAGAUGCACGUGUAAUAGGAUGGAGCACAAAGGGAGAAGGGAGUUCAUAAAACAUGCUAAUCAAAGUAUGGGAAGUAUGAUUUGACAUCCCACAUUCCAGACUUAAGUAAUAGUAACAUGAAGUUUGUUAUCUACAUCUGGUAUUACUGUUGGUAUCCCUCAUGUUCCUCAAAUACUGCUGUCUUUUGCCAUGAGAGAUUUAGUUCUUUCAAAAGAAAAAGUUGUUACUUUAUUGAUAGGACUACAAGAAAAAAAAAAAUAAAAUAGGAGUCUAGAGCUUACUAGAUGUCAAGUGCUUACUAGAAAUAUGAUUUUUAAAAAUUCAGCAUUGUUCAGUAUGUAAAACAAUUUUCGAUGAGCCAUCUAAAAAUAAAAAGGUUAAAAUUCUUCAGGAAAAGUCUUUUUGCCUUUAUUUAAAAUUUGAAGCUUUUUAAUGCAUACAGGACUUUCAUGGAGUGUACAAAAAUCAUCUUAUAUUUAGUGAUUCAGAGGCCAUCAAGACAGGUGUUAUAUUUCACAGGCACACAAUAUUUACUUAAACAUUUUAGUCAUGGGACAAAAUUUUGAAUUUGUGCCUACAGGCCACAAGGUAUUAUGACAAGGUAAGGGGCAGGAGGGAACCCAAAUGAAUACAUGGCUUGUUUUUAUUUUGUAGAAAUAACCAUUGUCCUAUAUGGUGCAUACAAGCUGGAGAGGGGGAAAAAAAAAAAAAAAGCCACCAACAAAAAACCCCACCCACCAUUAAAUACAAAAGCUUUUCCCAAGAAAUAAAGGGAUCAAAAAAGGUAAUAGAGUUUGAUUAGCUCAAAGGAAAGUUUAUUUGCUCUUUCACUGCUGAUCUGUAUGCACCUUAAAACAAUCCUAUAAAUAAAAAGUAGACCACAUCUUAAUCAUGUCCCAGUCCCACCAAUACCAAAACUUCCCAAUUACUUCCUCAACUUAUGUCUUAUAACCUCAAGAUUUGACAUUUCAUUUUAAAGGCUUACUGCUGCUUGAUGGCAGUUGAACUAGAUAUACUACACACUUGUUUUCAAUGCAUAGUAUAUUGUAGAACAUCAUCCAAUUUGCACUAUUGAAGAGAUUCUUCAAUAAAAUGAAAGUGUAUCAGCUGAGAUGUAAAAUUAGUCAUAUUCCAAUAAAAAAAGUACAUAAAAGUGCAUUUAAG
ensembl:lncRNA